AGAGUUUGAUCCUGGCUCAGAACGAACGCUGGCGGCAGGCUUAACACAUGCAAGUCGAACGCUCGUAGCAAUACGGGAGUGGCAGACGGGUGAGUAACGCGUGGGAACAUACCCUCCGGUUCGGAAUAGCUCAGGGAAACUUGGAUUAAUACCGGAUACGGCUGAGAGGCGAAAGAUUUAUCGCCGGAGGAUUGGCCCGCGUUCGAUUAGCUUGUUGGUGAGGUAACGGCUCACCAAGGCGAUGAUCGAUAGCUGGUCUGAGAGGAUGAUCAGCCACAUUGGGACUGAGACACGGCCCAAACUCCUACGGGAGGCAGCAGUGGGGAAUAUUGGACAAUGGGCGCAAGCCUGAUCCAGCCAUGCCGCGUGAGUGAUGACGGCCUUAGGGUUGUAAA
rnacentral:rRNA from 1 species